CGAAAUCGGUAGACGCUACGGACUUAAAAUCCGUUGACUUGUUAAAUCGUGAGGGUUCAAGUCCCUCUAUCCCC
rnacentral:tRNA from 1 species